rnacentral:tRNA from 3 species
GUUUAGGUAGUUUAAUGUAGAACAUGGCGCUGAAGUUGCCAAAGUGACUUUUUGUCCCCGAACA